AAAGCUCGUAGUUGAAUCUUGGGCCUGGCUGGCCGGUCCGCCUCACCGCGUGUACUGGUCCGGCCGGGUCUUUCACUCUGCGGAACCACAUGCCCUUCAGUGGGUGUGGCGGGGAAGCAGGACUUUUACUUUGAAAAAAUUAGAGUGCUCUAAGCAGGCCAAUGCUCGAAUACAUUAGCAUGGAAUAAUAAAAUAGGACGCGCGGUUCUAUUUUGUUGGUUUCUAGGACCGCCGUAAUGAUGAAUAGGGACAGUCGGGGGCAUCAGUAUUCAGUUGUCAGAGGUGAAAUUCUUGGAUCUACUGAAGACUAACUACUGCGAAAGCAUUUGCCAAGGAUGUUUUCAUUAAUCAGGAACGAAAGUUAGGGGAUCGAAGACGAUCAGAUACCGUCGUAGUCUUAACCAUAAACUAUGCCGACUAGGGAUCGGACGAUGUUAUUUAGUUGACUCGUUCGGCACCUUACGGGAA
rnacentral:rRNA from 1 species